GGGGCCUUAGCUCAGUUGGCAGAGCGCCUGCUUUGCAAGCAGGAAGUCAGGAGUUCGAAUCUCCUAGGCUCCACCA
rnacentral:tRNA from 17 species